UACGGAGGGUGCAAGCGUUAAUCGGAAUUACUGGGCGUAAAGCGUGCGCAGGCGGUUUGUUAAGUCUGCUGUGAAAUCCCCGAGCUCAACUUGGGAAUUGCAGUGGAUACUGGCAAGCUGGAGUACGGUAGAGGAAGGUGGAAUUCCCGGUGUAGCAGUGAGAUGCGUAGAGAUCGGGAGGAACACCAGUGGCGAAGGCGGCUACCUGGACCAGCACUGACACUGAGGCACGAAAGCGUGGGGAGCAAACAGG
rnacentral:rRNA from 1 species